GAUGAACGCUAGCGGCAGGCUUAAUACAUGCAAGUCGAGGGGCAGCAGGGUGUAGCAAUACAUCGCUGGCGACCGGCAAACGGGUGCGGAACACGUACACAACUUUCCUUUAAGUGGGGGAUAGCCCAGAGAAAUUUGGAUUAAUACCCCGUAAUAUUAUGAAGUGGCAUCAUUUUAUAAUUAUAGCUCCGGCGCUUGAAGAUGGGUGUGCGGCUGAUUAGGUAGNGGCGGGGUAACGGCCCACCAAGCCUACGAUCAGUAACUGGUGUGAGAGCACGACCAGUCACACGGGCACUGAGACACGGGCCCGACUCCUACGGGAGGCAGCAGUAAGGAAUAUUGGUCAAUGGACGCAAGUCUGAACCAGCCAUG
rnacentral:rRNA from 1 species